rnacentral:RNase_P_RNA from 1 species
UGAGUUUGUUAUACGGUCGCGGGGCAUUUUAUAUGUCAUGAGGAAAGUCCGAGCAGCACAGGACAGGGUGCUUGAUAACGUCAAGUGAAGGUGACUUCCAGGAUAGUGCAACAGAAAUAGACCGCCGCAAAAGGCUUGAUUUUUAUCUUGAUUAUCUGUUUACAGAUAGCCCGUUUGCGGUAAGGAUGGAAAGGCGAGGUAAGAGCUCACCGAUACCGUGGUGACACGGUAUGCCAUGUAAACCCCACCCGCUGCAAGAUUGGGUAUCCGUCAAUAGGGCUGUCCGUCCGACGGAAUACCGUGAAUAUCGCUAGAACUUGUCGGCGACGGCAAGUGUAGAUAAAUGACCGUACACGACAGAACUCGGCUUACAGACAAACUCAAAUC